GGGCGGCAUGGCGCAGGCAAAGGGUCUCAUCCUCGCGGGAUCGGCGGCGGGCAUCGCGGCGGCGUUCAACACGCCGCUGGCCG
rnacentral:tRNA from 2 species